rnacentral:rRNA from 1 species
UACGGAGGAUGCGAGCGUUAUCCGGAUUUAUUGGGUUUAAAGGGUGCGUAGGCGGGAUGCCAAGUCAGCGGUAAAAAUGCGGUGCUCAACGCCGUCGAGCCGUUGAAACUGGCGUUCUUGAGUGGGCGAGAAGUAUGCGGAAUGCGUGGUGUAGCGGUGAAAUGCAUAGAUAUCACGCAGAACUUCGAUUGCGAAGGCAGCAUACCGGCGCCCUACUGACGCUGAGGCACGAAAGCGUGGGUAUCGAACAGG